UUGUGAAAUUCUUGGCAACGCAAUCUGUGGCAGUUGUACCUUCAGAAUGGUACAGUGCUGGAGAGACUAUGUGGCCUAACUAUAAAAGUGACAAAAGGAUUGACAAAGCAAUUCAGCAAAGGGAAAGGCCGGGCGAGGACUGGGACCAGCAUGACUGCACGGUUUUAAAGUCAUGUGACAACUACUUGCAGGCACGCCAAGCAAUGAAAAAAUCUUUAACCUGCAGCACAUCAGACAUGCAGUCCGAACAGGAUGAUGAAGAAGACUCAAGACCUCGGAGAAAACCCAAACCUGUCCACUAUUUAGGAGAUUCUGACUUUGAUAGUGA